rnacentral:rRNA from 1 species
CCUACGGGUGGCAGCAGUGAGGAAUAUUGGUCAAUGGGUGCGAGCCUGAACCAGCCAAGUCGCGUGAGGGAAGACGGUCCUAUGGAUUGUAAACCUCUUUUGUCGGGGAGCAAAAGACGCCACGCGUGGCGUUCCGAGAGUACCCGAAGAAAAAGCAUCGGCUAACCCCGUGCCAGCAGCCGCGGUAAUACGGGGGAUGCGAGCGUUAUCCGGAUUUAUUGGGUUUAAAGGGUGCGCAGGCGGAAGAUCAAGUCAGCGGUAAAAUUGAGAGGCUCAACCUCUUCGAGCCGUUGAAACUGGUUGUCUUGAGUGAGCGAGAGGUAGGCGGAAUGCGUGGUGUAGCGGUGAAAUGCAUAGAUAUCACGCAGAACUCCGAUUGCGAAGGCAGCAUACCGGAGCUCAACUGACGCUCAUGCACGAAAGUGUGGGUAUCGAACAGGAUUAGAUACCCUAGUAGUC